rfam:Stanieria cyanosphaera PCC 7437 plasmid pSTA7437.02, complete sequence.
AGGAGCGUAGUGCGGUGAAAGUUGCACGCUACGUUUUGAACGAGAGGUGUCCUCUGGUAACAGAGGCAUCGACUCAAC